GGGAGUCGGGCGGACGUGGUCGUCGCCAACUUGGUCAGAUCCGGAAGGAAGCAGCCACAACGACCCAGCCACGGGUCGUCCCGGCUCCC
rnacentral:SRP_RNA from 3 species